rnacentral:ncRNA from 2 species
UUCUUAUCAAGAGAGGUGGAGGGACUGGCCCAAUGAAGCCCGGCAACCGGUUGUUUCAACAUGAUGCUAAUUCCAGCAGAGCGAAUUGCUCUGAGAGAUAAGAA